rnacentral:rRNA from 1 species
CAGUAGCCGCGGGAAUACGUAGGUGGCAAGCGUUGUCCGGAAUUAUUGGGCGUAAAGGGCUCGCAGGCGGUUUCUUAAGUCUGAUGUGAAAGCCCCCGGCUCGACCGGGGAGGGUCAUUGGAAACUGGGAAACUUGAGUGCAGAAGAGGAGAGUGGAAUUCCACGUGUAGCGGUGAAAUGCGUAGAGAUGUGGAGGAACACCAGUGGCGAAGGCGACUCUCUGGUCUGUAACUGACGCUGAGGAGCGAAAGCGUGGGGAGCGAACAGGAUUAGAUACCCCCGUAGUCCCUGUCUCUUAUAC